rnacentral:rRNA from 1 species
AUUUCUGCUUGCUAGAGAUGACGAGCGGCGGACGGGUGAGUAAUACUUAGGAAUCUACCUAGUAGUGGGGGAUAGCUCGGGGAAACUCGAAUUAAUACCGCAUACGACCUACGGGAGAAAGGGGGCAACUUGUUGCUCUCGCUAUUAGAUGAGCCUAAGUCGGAUUAGCUAGAUGGUGGGGUAAAGGCCUACCAUGGCGACGAUCUGUAGCUGGUCUGAGAGGAUGAUCAGCCACACCGGGACUGAGACACGGCCCGGACUCCUACGGGAGGCAGCAGUGGGGAAUAUUGGACAAUGGGGGAAACCCUGAUCCAGCCAUGCCGCGUGUGUGAAGAAGGCCUUUUGGUUGUAAAGCACUUUAAGCAGUGAAGAAGACUCUUCGGUUAAUACCCGGAGACGAUGACAUUAGCUGCAGAAUAAGCACCGGCUAACUCUGUGCCAGCAGCCGCGGUAAUACAGAGGGUGCAAGCGUUAAUCGGAAUUACUGGGCGUAAAGCGAGCGUAGGUGGCUUGAUAAGUCAGAUGUGAAAUCCCCGGGCUUAACCUGGGAACUGCAUCUGAUACUGUCAGGCUAGAGUAGGUGAGAGGAAGGUAGAAUUCCAGGUGUAGCGGUGAAAUGCGUAGAGAUCUGGAGGAAUACCGAUGGCGAAGGCAGCCUUCUGGCAUCAUACUGACACUGAGGCUCGAAAGCGUGGGUAGCAAACAGGAUUAGAUACCCUGGUAGUCCACGCCGUAAACGAUGUCUACUAGUCGUUGGGUCCCUUGAGGACUUAGUGACGCAGCUAACGCAAUAAGUAGACCGCCUGGGGAGUACGGCCGCAAGGUUAAAACUCAAAUGAAUUGACGGGGGCCCGCACAAGCGGUGGAGCAUGUGGUUUAAUUCGAUGCAACGCGAAGAACCUUACCUGGUCUUGACAUAUCUAGAAUCCUGCAGAGAUGCGGGAGUGCCUUCGGGAAUUAGAAUACAGGUGCUGCAUGGCUGUCGCCAGCUCGGGCCCUGAGAUGUUGGGUUAAGUCCCGCAACGAGCGCAACCCUUGUCCUUAGUUACCACCGGGUUAAGCCGGGAACCUUAAGGAACCUGCCAGUGACAAACUGGAAGAAAGGGGGGGACAAACUCCAAGUUAACAUUGGCCCUUUACGACCAGGGGUUACACCUUGGCUACAAUGGUAGGUUCAAAGGGGCUCUUCCACCCGAUUGGUAUGGCAAUUCUAAAAAGCCUUUU